GUCAGGCGGGGCCACCCGCCGAGUUUAAGCAUAUAAAUAAGCGGAGGAGAAGAAACUUACGAGGAUUCCCCUAGUAACGGCGAGCGAACCGGGAUCAGCCCAGCUUGAGAAUCGGGCGGCCGCGCCGUCCGAAUUGUAGUCUGGAGAAGCGUCCUCAGCGACGGACCGG
rnacentral:rRNA from 1 species